CCGCACUCCCCAGGCGCACCACAUUUCAGCACGACGGACAGCGCAGCACUGGGGCGCGACUGGGGAGGCGGGGACCAAUACCACGCUGUUUCAGCCCGGCUUUUUCAAAUCUCUCGGGUCUCCGCCCUCAUUUCCGUGCAUUUUCGAAACGACUGUCACAGCAACCGAAGCCACAAAAACACAUUCACAGAAAACGGGGAAGCUCCAGGGUUCGCUUACCGUCUGACAAGUCAAUCAGUCCGAGGCAAUUUCUCCAAAGGUUUAACCAGUCCCUAAUCUUCUGCUAGCUGAGUGUAACCAUCACUGGCAACAUCUCAUGGCAUAUUCUCUCGGCAGCUCAGAGAAAACGUGUGUCAGUGUAGACCAUUUGAAAGACAUACAGAAAGAGCCCCAUUGCUUUAGAUCGCAGAUAGAUGGAGAGAUGAAAGAUGCUUUUUCAAAGGGACAACAAUUUGUCUUCACUUCCCAGUGAAAAACCCAACAAGCUGGUCUGGAACAUAUGUGGUCCCUGCUUUGACACAGUGAAAUGUCCCUGGAAACUGUACCACCAGGAAAGCUAUGGAAAGAAUGAUGCAAGAAGGCAGAGUAGUGGUUCCCACUGUCUGCUUUGCUGUUACUGUGUAAAGACUUACAUUCUUCCAAGAAUUCUGACUUCACAGACAGCUCCCCUUCUGGAUUGUCUCCUAACCUUGAACUUUAGGAGCAACUGUGUCUCAGGUGAGUCACCUCAGUGGCAACCAGAAAGACUUACCUACUAUUUCCUAGAAAUGGUGAGGUGCCACUUCUUAUCCCCAAUAACGUCAGAAGGAAAUCCAGGUCUCAUAGUAGUGGGUGUCUGCGUGACAACCCAAAAUCUACCUGCCUCCAAAGUCUG
rnacentral:lncRNA from 10 species